AUUGAACGCUGGCUGCAGGCCUAACACAUGCAAGUCGGGCGAGCCGCGGACGGGAGAGUAAUGGAUGGGGCUCUGCCUGAUGGCGGGGGAUAACUACUGGAAACGGUAGCUACUCACGCAUACCAUCAGAUGAACCCAUCUGGGAGUAGCUUGUAGGUGAGGUAACGGCUCACCUAGGCGACGAUCCCUAGCUGGUCUGAGAGGAUGACCAGCCACACUGGGCCUGAGACCCGGCCCAGACUCCUACGGGAGGCAGCAGUGGGGAAUAUCGCACAAUCGGCGCCAGCUGGAUGCAGCCAUGCCGCGUGAAUGAAGAAGGCCUUCGGUUUGUAAAGUCCGUUCAGUCGGGGCGCGUUCCCGACAGACGGCGCACCGGCUAACUCCGUGCCAGCAGCCGCGGUAAUUC
rnacentral:rRNA from 1 species